rnacentral:rRNA from 1 species
GACGAACGCUGGCGGCGUGCUUAACACAUGCAAGUCGAACGGAAAGGCCCUGCUUUUGUGGGGUGCUCGAGUGGCGAACGGGUGAGUAACACGUGAGUAACCUGCCCUUGACUUUGGGAUAACUUCAGGAAACUGGGGCUAAUACCGGAUAGGAGCUCCUGCUGCAUGGUGGGGGUUGGAAAGUUUCGGCGGUUGGGGAUGGACUCGCGGCUUAUCAGCUUGUUGGUGGGGUAGUGGCUUACCAAGGCUUUGACGGGUAGCCGGCCUGAGAGGGUGACCGGCCACAUUGGGACUGAGAUACGGCCCAGACUCCUACGGGAGGCAGCAGUGGGGAAUAUUGCACAAUGGGCGGAAGCCUGAUGCAGCAACGCCGCGUGCGGGAUGACGGCCUUCGGGUUGUAAACCGCUUUCGCCUGUGACGAAGCGUGAGUGACGGUAAUGGGUAAAGAAGCACCGGCUAACUACGUGCCAGCAGCCGCGGUGAUACGUAGGGUGCGAGCGUUGUCCGGAUUUAUUGGGCGUAAAGGGCUCGUAGGUGGUUGAUCGCGUCGGAAGUGUAAUCUUGGGGCUUAACCCUGAGCGUGCUUUCGAUACGGGUUGACUUGAGGAAGGUAGGGGAGAAUGGAAUUCCUGGUGGAGCGGUGGAAUGCGCAGAUAUCAGGAGGAACACCAGUGGCGAAGGCGGUUCUCUGGGCCUUUCCUGACGCUGAGGAGCGAAAGCGUGGGGAGCGAACAGGCUUAGAUACCCUGGUAGUCCACGCUGUAAACGGUGGGUACUAGGUGUGGGGUCCAUUCCACGGGUUCCGUGCCGUAGCUAACGCUUUAAGUACCCCGCCCGGGGAGUACGGCCGCAAGGCUAAAACUCAAAGGAAUUGACGGGGCCCCGCACAAGCGGCGGAGCAUGCGGAUUAAUUCGAUGCAACGCGUAGAACCUUACCUGGGUUUGACAUGGAUCGGGAGUGCUCAGAGAUGGGUGUGCCUCUUUUGGGGUCGGUUCACAGGUGGUGCAUGGCUGUCGUCAGCUCGUGUCGUGAGAUGUUGGGUUAAGUCCCGCAACGAGCGCAACCCUUGUUCACUGUUGCCAGCACGUUAUGGUGGGGACUCAGUGGAGACCGCCGGGGUCAACUCGGAGGAAGGUGGGGAUGACGUCAAGUCAUCAUGCCCCUUAUGUCCAGGGCUUCACGCAUGCUACAAUGGCUGGUACAGAGAGUGGCGAGCCUGUGAGGGUGAGCGAAUCUCGGAAAGUCGGUCUCAGUCCGGAUUGGGGUCUGCAACUCGACCUCAUGAAGUCGGAGUCGCUAGUAAUCGCAGAUCAGCAACGCUGCGGUGAAUACGUUCCCGGGGCU